rnacentral:rRNA from 1 species
UCUGGUGACAAUGGCACAAAGGAAACACCUGUUCCCAUUCCGAACACAGAAGUUAAGCUUUGUAGCGGUGAAGGUAGUUGGGGCAACCCUGCAAGAAUAACACGUCGCCAGGC